AUUAGACUGCAAAUUCCAUGAACGAGGGACAAUGUCUCUUCAGCACUAGUGUAGCAGUGUUACCGGAAAGGGGUCCUGAUCCAGACACCAAGAAAGGGUUCUUGGAUCUCGAGCAAGGAAGAAUUCAGGACAAGACCAUAGAGUAAAGUGAAAGCAAGUUUAUUAAGAAAGUAGAGGAAUAAAAGAAUGGCUACUCCAUAGGCAGAGCAGCCCGAGGGCUACUCGUUGCCCAUUUUUAUGGUUAUAGUCGGCUUCUUUACUGCUACCUGUUUCAUCAGUAAGGUCUUUAUGACAUGCAUCUUGUAUCUUGUAUCUUUAUGACCUCCUAUCUCAUCCUGUGACUUAGAAUGCAUAACCAUCUGGGAAUGCAGCAUAGCAGGCCUCAGCCUUACCCGGAGGCCCAACGUGGUGCUGCUCCUCACGGACGACCAGGACGAAGUGCUCGGCGGCAUGGUAACUCUUCUGUUUCUGCCCCGCCCCUCUAUCUCUUGGGCUGACUCCCCGGUUUGUUGCUCUCUUUCCCGGUCCCCACCACCCUCCUCCCCGAACUGGCUGUCUUAUCCUUGGGUAGGUUUGGUUUUCCCACCUGAGGCCCUUUAUGCCGGUGUAAGGGACUGCAAUACUCUUUUCCUUUCUGGAUUGAGGCACAUGCGUACAGCACACAGAGCUUCUAGUCUGGACCGUACUGCUGUGGAGUUUACGUUAAUAUCUCAAGAUAAACAUGUGGAGACCAGGGUCAAGAGAUCGAGACCAUCCUGGCCAACAUGGUGAAACCCCGUCUCUACUAGAAAUACAAUAAUUCUAUCUGGGCGUGGUGGCGCGCAGCUGUAGUCCCAGCUACUUGGGAGGCUGAGGAAGGAGAAUCGCUUGAACCCGGGAGGCGGAAGUUGCAGUGAGCCGAGAUCGCGCCACUGCAUUCCAGCCUGGCGACAGAGCGAGACUCCGUCUCAAAAAAAAAAAAAAAAAAAAAAAGGCCUGAAGUGAACUAAUCUGGUAGGCCGACCGUCGAACUAUUGAGGGUGUGUGUUGCCUUACAAGAAUCAAGAAAGUUGCAUUAGAGACUGUCAGUGUUUCAUUUUCUAUCUAAUGGGUGUUGUCACAAGACUUCAUUUUUUUUCCAGUGUUAAUUUUGCUUGUGUAUUGCAGAAUUAUGGAAUGUGUGACCUUUGGAAACAUCCACUCCAACCCCUUCCCCAUGGAGGCCCAGAAAGCAACUUGCCCAAGACAUGAGUAGUUGAGGCAGAGUCCUCUGACCCUGGGUUCAGCAUUCCUCUCUUCGCUUUAAAACCAAAUGCUUUAUUGCUUUCUUCGUUUCAGUUCUCUUUUUGCUUUCAGCUGAAUGCUGAGACUAUGAAAUACAACAGGCAAGACGUUCCUAACUUUUCUUGUGUAGUUACACACCCUAGCUCAGUGUCCUUCAAACCUCUGGUCCCAACCCUUGAGUGAGUUGUGAAAUCAGUUUAGUGAGUAACUACCAACAUUUUUUAUUUCCUCUGGAAUAGAAUAGAAUAGAAAAGGUCCAUGUGUGUGAGUGUGUGUGUUACACUUGAUAAAGGUAAUCAUUAUCUAUCUCUCUUUCUUCCCGAGUUGUAAAAUAUAUUUCUUAGGUUGAUGCUCAAGAGCUUGAGAGUCUUUUAUAGCUGAUGUUUUAAGAGGCUUGCAUUUUGACUACACAUUUCUUCCUGCCAUAUAUGCUUCAUUGUCUGUUAGUUUCUACCAAGCCAUGUUGACAUCGGUCUUAAUUUAAUUUUCCUCCUACACUUUAGGUUCACUACUCUUCCAACUACUGCACUUACUUGUCUGCUCACAAAAUAAAACUGGAAGGUGGUUAAGUGACAUGACUAAGUUCAUAUAGCUAAUAUUGGACAAAGCCUGGGUAUAAAAAGAUUACAGAUUGCUGCCAUAGUUGGCAAAAUAAACAGUGGUUAACCCCCACCAAACUCACUCAGGUCAAAGGAUUGUAUAUAACGUUCCUCUGGGUUGGAGUUACUGGUAUGCCUUGGUGAGUGAUUAUUGAAGUCUGUGACAAUUUUAUGCAGCCCUACAGAUGCAGAAUAUGUUUAAUUUAGCUCUGAUAUUGACAUAACUUUAUUUGCUUUUACAAUUAGUCAUUUUAAAAACCUUAAAAUUUAUUGACUUGUGGCCAGGUGUAGUGGCUCAUGCCUAGAAUCCCAACACUUUGGGAGGCAGAGACAGGAGAAUCUCUUGAGUUCAGGAGUUCGAGACCAGCCUGGGCAAAAUGGCGAGACCCCAUUUCAACAAAAAAUUUUAAAAUUAGCUGGGUGUGGUGGCAUGUGCCUGUAGUCCCAGCUACUCGGGAG
rnacentral:lncRNA from 1 species